GGGGGUAUAGCUCAGCUGGGAGAGCAACAGACUGAAGUGCCGUAGCUAGCUCGUAGGCUUUUCUGGAGGUCCCCAGUUCAAUCCUGGGUGUCCCCA